CUUGUAAACCACGUUCAUCAGAGAGUCAGAGACCAACACCAUCAUCGUUUCCAAAACACCACGUACUUGAUUGAAAAGAAACAAAAAUAGCGUCAGCGUCCAACCUUCUUGGCCCCUAAAGACAAAUCAAUGCAUUGUUAACGCAUUAUUAUACAAUCGACAUUUCAAGAAUUGAACUAUAAGAGGAGGCGUUUUUUUACCGCGCCUUGUUCGUCGCCGUUAAGCGCGUGAGCAACAACCAAGCCGUGGAAAGAGCGUGGGCCAGGGGUAAGCCCAGCGGCUAUCAUGUCAUAGAUAACCUCCGAUACGCCUGACGGAUCUCGAUUCCUGGCUCGCUCCAUGAGCUCGUCCAUGAAAGUGAGGCGGAGACUCCUCUCCAGCGCCGAGACGGCUUCGCUGCUGCCGAAGGAUGAGGAAUCUUCAUUCUCGCGCUUCUGAAUCUGCUUACGCCUCCUCCUGGGCUUCUUCUCCGGCGCGGAGAUUGAGCAUCGAGUGGUGGGGAUUCCGGCGGCGCGGCGAGGAAUCGGGUGGAUUGAGUUGGAGGGAAGCGAUGGAUUGAGGAAGAAGAGAGACAUGGCGAGUGAGUGAGGAAAUGGAUAAAAUGA